GCCAUGGCUCAGUGGUAGAGCACCUGCCAUGUAUGCCGGUGGUCCCAGGUUCAAUCCUUGACAGUUCAGUG